rnacentral:rRNA from 1 species
CCUACGGGAGGCUGCAGUGGGGAAUAUUGGACAAUGGGCGAAAGCCUGAUCCAGCCAUGCCGCGUGUGUGAAGAAGGCCUUCGGGUUGUAAAGCACUUUCAGUGGGGAAGAAAGCCUUGGGGCUAAUACCCUCGAGGAAGGACAUCACCCACAGAAGAAGCACCGGCUAACUCCGUGCCAGCAGCCGCGGUAAUACGGAGGGUGCGAGCGUUAAUCGGAAUUACUGGGCGUAAAGCGCGCGUAGGCGGUCUGAUAAGCCGGUUGUGAAAGCCCCGGGCUCAACCUGGGAACGGCAUCCGGAACUGUCAGGCUAGAGUGCAGGAGAGGAAGGUAGAAUUCCCGGUGUAGCGGUGAAAUGCGUAGAGAUCGGGCGGAAUACCAGUGGCGAAGGCGGUCUUCUGGACUGACACUGACGCUGAGGUGCGAAAGCGUGGGUAGCAAACAGGAUUAGAUACCCUAGUAGUC